CAAUAUGGCUACUGGGUGUAAAAGAUAAAUCUUAUUCUAUCUGUUCUUAACGAGUUUUAGAUAAUUUUAGUUGUAUUUCUUUGUAAUUUUGUGUUGUACAAAGAUUAAUUUAACAUUUUCUCUGGAAGUAUUAAUUUAGGAAGAUAAUAUGCUUCAUUGGUGUUGUGUUUUGAAGUGUGAAAUGCAAAGUACCUAAUUGUGAUAAAGUCAAGAUAAAGUUCACUUUUAAACUGAACUAAAUAAGGUAUCUGAGAGACAACAAUGGUUAAAUGCAAUACAAUGUACAGGUUUUACUAGCGAAAUGAAAAUUUUCCUGUCCUGUCUGCUGAAAUCAUUUUAUAUCUGGAAAACCAGCCGACUUAAUCGAUAAUAACAAUCUCCAGAUUGGGUUCCUUCAAUAAAUAUGGGCUAUAAGCACAAUGAAAUAAGUUCCCCAAAAUCUAAAAUGGAGUGGUAUCAAAGGAGAAUUAAAGGAAAAAAUAUUCAUAUUGAAAUUAUUUAUAAGGCACUGGACUGCCUUAAAUUCUACAAUAAUACUAGAAUCAGCUGAGAGAAGUGGUCUACAAAAAACCAGGAAGGAAACGGAAUAUGUGGCUACGAAAGGCAAAAGAAAGGUUUACAAAGCAAAUGUGACACAUUUUUUUGAAAUAUUUAGGAAUAUCAGUAAAUUGCAUUAAAAGAAUGUAUGAAAAGAUUUUGUUCAAUAAAAAUGUUUAUAUUUA